UACGAAGGGGGCUAGCGUUGUUCGGAAUUACUGGGCGUAAAGCGCACGUAGGCGGAUUGUUAAGUUAGGGGUGAAAUCCCAGGGCUCAACCCUGGAACUGCCUUUAAUACUGGCAAUCUCGAGUCCGAGAGAGGUGAGUGGAAUUCCGAGUGUAGAGGUGAAAUUCGUAGAUAUUCGGAGGAACACCAGUGGCGAAGGCGGCUCACUGGCUCGGUACUGACGCUGAGGUGCGAAAGCGUGGUGAGCAAACAGG
rnacentral:rRNA from 1 species